rnacentral:rRNA from 1 species
UACGUAGGGUGCAAGCGUUAAUCGGAAUUACUGGGCGUAAAGCGUGCGCAGGCGGCCUUGCAAGUCAGAUGUGAAAUCCCCGGGCUUAACCUGGGAACUGCAUUUGUGACUGCAUGGCUGGAGUGCGGUAGAGGGGGAUGGAAUUCCGCGUGUAGCAGUGAAAUGCGUAGAGAUCCGGAAGAACACCGGUGGCGAAGGCGGCCCGCUGGGCUGUUGCUGACGCUGAGGCACGAAAGCGUGGGGAGCAAACGGG